rnacentral:rRNA from 1 species
CCUACGGGAGGCAGCAGUGGGGGAUAUUGCACAAUGGGGGAAACCCUGAUGCAGCAACGCCGCGUGAGGUAUGAAGGCCUUUGGGUUGUAAGCCUCUGUCCUAGGGGAAGAAAAAAAUGACGGUACCCGAGGAGGAAGCCCCGGCUAACUACGUGCCAGCAGCCGCGGUAAUACGUAGGGGGCAAGCGUUAUCCGGAAUUAUUGGGCGUAAAGAGUGCGUAGGUGGUCUACUAAGCGCGAGGUGAAAGGCAAUGGCUCAACCAUUGUUAGCCUUGCGAACUGGCAGACUUGAGUGCAAGAGAGGAAAGCGGAAUUCCUAGUGUAGCGGUGAAAUGCGCAGAUAUUAGGAGGAACACCGGCGGCGAAGGCGGCUUUCUGGAUUGUAACUGACACUGAGGCACGAAAGCGUGGGUAGCAAACAGGAUUAGAUACCCGUGUAGUC